rnacentral:rRNA from 1 species
CCCGUAGAGCUUUACUGCAGCCUGAUAUUGAGUUUCGGUAACUGAUGCACAGGAUAGGUGGGAGUCUGAGAGACAUGGGUUUCGGCUCAUGAGGAGACGAUGUUGGGAUACCACUCUUCGGUUACUGAAAUUCUAACAUAGCUCUGUGAAACCAGAGGAUGGACAGUGUCAGGUGGACAGUUUGACUGGGGCGGUCGCCUCCGAAAGAGUAACGGAGGCGCCCAAAGGUACCCUCAGAAUGGAUGGAAACCAUUCGAAGAGCGCAAAGGCAGAAGGGUG